rnacentral:rRNA from 1 species
GACGAACGCUGGCGGCGUGCUUAACACAUGCAAGUCGAACAAUGAACUUCCAGCUUGCUGGGGGGGAUUAGUGGCGAACGGGUGAGUAACACGUGAGUAACCUGCCCUGGACUCUGGGAUAACCCCCGAGAAAUCGGAGCUAAUACCGGAUAGGACCUCGGAUCGCAUGAGCUGGGGUGGAAAGUUUUUUCGGUCUGGGACGGACUCGCGGCCUAUCAGCUUGUUGGUGAGGUAAUGGCUCACCAAGGCGUCGACGGGUAGCCGGCCUGAGAGGGUGACCGGCCACACUGGGACUGAGACACGGCCCAGACUCCUACGGGAGGCAGCAGUGGGGAAUAUUGCACAAUGGGCGCAAGCCUGAUGCAGCAACGCCGCGUGCGGGAUGACGGCCUUCGGGUUGUAAACCGCUUUUAGUAAGGAAGAAGGGGCUUCGGCCUUGACGGUACUUGCAGAAAAAGGACCGGCUAACUACGUGCCAGCAGCCGCAGUAACAC